rnacentral:piRNA from 1 species
UGAGAGGGAUGCCAAGCAAGUCUUCGCGU